UUAUAUUGUCAUUGUUUUUACACUAUAAACAUGACACUAGUGACUAGACAGUAUAGCCAUGCUAUGCUAAUAAAAUUUGGAGUGACAGACAACAAACUGAAAAUAUGCUUUGUUAACAAAAUGGCAUUUGCAAAUGAAACCACUAUCAUGGCAAUGACAAUCUUAAGAGAACAAAAUCAUAUUUACAAAAUAAAAAAUAAUUACUAAAAAUUUACUCGAAUAAAAUAAAUACCAGCAACUCGCAAUAAUAAGGACAGAGCCAAGAGAGCAGCAACAACAGAGGCAGUUAAGAUCGAGCAAUAGUGGUUAAGGCAGAGACAGAGCAGCAGCUGCGUGCAAAGAUGAAGCAGCAGCAGUGGCAGAGAGGGAGCAACAGCAGUGGCCUAGAUGAAGCAGUAGUGGCAGUGGAGACAGAGUACAACAAUUGAUAUGGGCACACUGAGAGAGAAUAGAUCGGGAGAGAUAAGAAGAAAGAGAGAGAGCGUUGUUGGAUGAAAAAUGAAAAGACAAGGAUCGAAGAGGUAAGGAAAGAUUUUUUUUUUAAUUUUUUUUUGUAAUAUGUGUUAUAAAAGUGAAUUUGAAUUUAUUGUUUUAUAAUUUAUUUUUUUGAAUUCAACCCACUAAACAUGCAUUAUAUUUGUACUUUUUAAAACGAAAAUGAAAACAAAAUCCCAAAAAUGGUACCGAAUAUGCCCUAAAGUUUUCAAGAUUUUGUGCCAACAUCUUUCUUCAUAAAUUCUCUCAGCAAGAAUUACUAAUCAUCAUCAUUGUGUUACAGUAUCCACUUGCACAAGUUAUAAUCAAGAGAGAUGAAUCAUGUUAGAUUCAUCAACAAAGACAAUAGAAAAUAAGAUGGAUUUUGAAUUUUUGUUAAAGCUCUUAAUUUUGAUCAUUUGUUAACAUAGUAGAGAGGAGUUUCAUUGAUGAUGAUGAUGAUGAACCAAUUUUUAGACUGUUCAACGAGAAAAAGACACAUAACAAAAAAUUAAAAAAAGAAAUUCUACUUAUUUACACCCGAAUUUCAUUGUAGAUGAUGAAUAGAGUGUUGGUACAAAAAUAUAUCUAUGUGAUUAUCUUUUAUUUAAAAGAGUUUAAUUCCUUAUUGCUUAUGUGAUAUAAAGCAAAUGAAUGUUAAAUAAACAAAAAAAAGUAGCUUCAAUGAGAAUGUCAAGUUAUGUCUUAUUGAUUGCAAUUGGUUAAUUACAACUGUAAUUGAAAAUGACAAAAAAAAAUCCAGAAAAACGUAAAGAUGAGGGGUUGAAGAAAGAGGAAAAAAAAUUACUUUAAUGAACUAUAAAUACAGGAGAGAUUAAGGGGUGUAAUAAAAAAAGAACGAAAAGAGGGGUAUGAUUCACCCGUUGCACCAUAGCUCCAUCCAUUUCAUUUAUUUUGUGGAGAGAAUCAUGACUUCAUGAGAAAUUUAAAUUGUUAGGUAAAGUUAAGUCCCCUGUGAAGCCGAGUAUUUCCAUUUCUUGUUUCUGAAUAGUUGAUAAAAAAUUAAAAUAUUUCAAAUUUUGAAAAAAAAAAAUACAUUUCAUUGGAAUAUUAUGACUUGUCCACCUACUGUUUUCUUCAAUUUUAAAAACCCCAGAAAAACUGAACUUGUUCGACAGUCUGCUUGAAGUUUUAUAAAUUGCAGCAAUUUUUCUUUUUUUGGGUCAACAAUGUUGAGAAUUUUUCAGUAAAAUGGUUAUCUUCUCCUGAAGCGUAAUUAAAUAAACAAUGGGUAGAAAAUUAUUACCCAUUCAAUUGAAAAUUGAUACUUUCAACAAACGACAAUAUGAUAUAUCUAAACUACCAUCUUUUUGACAUCACUAAAAGCUUACAUUUGUUAAUAGCACAAAGUAGAAAAAUGACACACUUUGUAAAUUAAAAAAAUUAGGGUUUUUUGGAAUAGGAGUAAACAAUGGGAGUAGAACCAAUAAUGUUAUCUAAAUUAUACUCAAAAGAGAAAAAUGAUAACAUUUAAAGGAAAAAACGAAGUCCAAUGACAGUUAUAAGAUGAAAUUUCUCCAAAUAAGUAAAACUAUCACGUCAGAAUAUCAUAAAAUUAAAGUACUUUAAACAUAGGAUGAUAGGAUUUUACAUAAGUAUAUAUCAGCAUAUCAUCUGUGGUGAUGAUGAAGAUAGUUAUGCAUAAAAGCAUACUGAUCGUUUUACAGUACAUGAAAACCAUAAUCUACAUUCUAGAACCCCCCUCCUCAUACGAGCAGGUGAUGAUCGCUGCUACUACAUAAAAACUUGACAGUAAGUAGAUCAUUACGCAGCCUCAGCAAAGCCGAUCCGGAGCUUACCAGAGUCGAAAACAGUGUGAUAAACCCCCAUGAAUACAUCUCCCAGAAUCCUGCAUGAAUAAAC
rnacentral:lncRNA from 1 species